AUUAACGCUGCCUCUUCCAUAUUCUUGAGUCCGAUAUCACAUACACCCGCAUCAAGGAAUUUAGCGAAAAAUGGCAAUUCUUAAUGACUGUUUCUGGCUGAUCUUGAUGAAUUGUCAGAUAACGAAGGUCAUCUUCUGGAAGCAGAUAAUAAUGAUGCUGAUUUUACUGACAUUGCCAAGCUACAAAACACUCAGCGGUUUAUUCAAAUCAUGAAGGAUGGUUUUGUUGCACUUCCCUUGUCUUAAUCAGCAACUGAUUUCCUUCUAUAGAAAGUUGAACAUGCAUUACGAAAUGUGGCUGAGAACUCAACUCAUGAAAUAGUCUUGGAAGAUGAGUAUCAGUUGAUCGUUGAUUGUAAUGCCUUGUCUGUUGAUAUUGAAAAUGAAAUUGUAAUAAUUCAUAAUUUUAUCCGCGACUUGAAAUUCCCAGAACUUGAAUAUCUUGUUCAUCACCCAAUUGAUUACGCCCGGGUUGUUAAAAAUAUUGCUAAUGAAAUGGCUUGUUGAUCUUAAAGGGAUUUUACCCUCUGCUGUUAAUAUGGUGGUAUGUGUCACAGCAUCAGCUACUACUAGGGGCAAGCCCCUUCCGGAGGAUGUGUUGCAAAUGACAAUUGAUGCAUGUGAUAGUGCUCUUGCUCUAGAUUCUGCAAAGAAGAUGGUCCUUGAUUUUGUGGAGAGUCGAAUGGGGUAUAUUGCCCCAAACCUCUCGGCCAUAGUUGGAAGUGAUUGUUACAGCUGGUGGUCUUUCAGCAUUAGCAACAUUUCCUGCAUGUAAUGUUCAGCUUCUUGGUGCCAAAAAGAAGAACUUAGCAGGAUUCUCAACAGCUACAUCCCAAAUUCGUAUUGGUUAUUUGGAGCAAACUGAGAUUUUACAGAGUACUCCUCCUUCCUUAAGAAUGCGUGCUUGUCGACUUUUGGCUUCAAAAUCUGCUCUUGCUGCACGUGUAGAUUCCUCUAGGGGAUACCCAAUCGGCCAAACUGGUAGAAGUUUACGAGCGUGCAGAGAUUCACAAAAAGAUGGAAAGAGCCGCCUCCUGCUAAGCAGCCUAAACCACUCCCAGUUCCUAAAUUAGAGCCUAGAAAGAAGAGAGGUGGUCGGCGUUUAAGGAAAAUGAAAGAAAGAUAUGCUAUUACAGACAUGCAGAAGCUGGCAAACAGGAUGCAAUUUGGGGUACCAGAGGAGAGCUCAC